rnacentral:rRNA from 1 species
UUUUUUGGUCAAGCUAGUAAGGGCUGCUGGUGGAUGCCUUGGCAUCAACAGGCGAUGAAGGACGCGACAACCUG